rnacentral:SRP_RNA from 1 species
AGUCGGGUAAGUCAUACACGACCAGCUCCUGCUGAAUCCCCCAGGACCGGAAGGUAGCAAGGGUAAGCGGUUGUAGCGGUGCGAUGUAUCAAGCUUACCCU